CAAUAGCGUAUAUUAACGUUGUUGCAGUUAAAAAGCUCGUAGUUGGAUUUCUGGAGGGAGCGUCGGCCCGUAGUUACGAGUGCGUGACGUCUCUGUCCAUCCUUGCGGGAAGGCACGGCAUUGAUUUGUUGUGUCGGAUCGCAUCAUUUACUGUGAAAAAAUUAGAGUGUUCAAAGCAGGCUUUCGCUUGAAUACAUUAGCAUGGAAUAAUAAGAUAGGACUUUGGUGCUAUUUUGUUGGUUGAGCCUAAAGUAAUGAUUAAUAGGGAUAGUUGGGGGCACCUGUAUUGCGUUGUCAGAGGUGAAAUUCUUGGAUUUACGCAAGACAAACAGCUGCGAAAGCGUCUGCCAAGGAUGUUUUCAUUAA
rnacentral:rRNA from 1 species